rnacentral:rRNA from 1 species
CUACGGGGCGCAGCAGUGGGGAAUAUUGGACAAUGGGGGAAACCCUGAUCCAGCAAUGCCGCGUGUGUGAAGAAGGCCUGCGGGUUGUAAAGCACUUUCGGUUGGGAGGACUGCUUCUAGCACUAAUAUUGUUGGAAGUUGACGUUACCUUCAGAAGAAGCACCGGCUAACUCCGUGCCAGCAGCCGCGGUAAUACGGGGGGUGCAAGCGUUAAUCGGAAUUACUGGGCGUAAAGCGCGCGUAGGCGGCUAGAUCAGUCGGGUGUGAACGCCCCGGGCUUAACCUGGGAACUGCAUCCGAUACUGUCUAGCUUGAGUACAGGAGAGGAGAGUGGAAUUCCACAUGUAGCGGUGAAAUGCGUAGAUAUGUGGAGGAACACCAAUGGCGAAGGCAGCUCUCUGGCCUGAUACUGACGCUGAGGUGCGAAAGCGUGGGGAGCAAACAGGAUUAGAUACCCGGGUUAGUC